rnacentral:ncRNA from 1 species
CCUUAUGAAGAGUGGCGGAGGGAACGGCCCUAUGAUGCCCGGCAACCUGCAUUCGCAAGGUGCCAAGUCCGACGGUUAUGCCGACAGAUAAGG